GAGAAGGAGAGGAAGAAGAGUAGUGAUCACGGAGAAGAUUAUGAAUAGAACAAACGGAUGCUUCGAAUCUCAGCUUUUUGUUCAGCUGUUUCUGAAGAUCAUCAAGCUCAAGCUUCAAGCUUUCCUCGGAAGGAGACGGUGAAGACGAUGCAUCCAUUCAGAAAUUUAUUUCUUAGAGUUAAGGAGAAUACUCAGGGGUUUCGAAUGAUUUUGGGGAUUUUGUAAGAAUGAUGCAAAAGAAGAACCAAUCUCUUGUCUUCUGGGAUUUUU